UUGUCCUACGGGGGGCAGCAGUGAGGAAUAUUGGUCAAUGGACGCAAGUCUGAACCAGCCAUGCCGCGUGCAGGAAGACGGCUCUAUGAGUUGUAAACUGCUUUUGUACGAGGGUAAACGCAGAUACGUGUAUCUGUCUGAAAGUAUCGUACGAAUAAGGAUCGGCUAACUCCGUGCCAGCAGCCGCGGUAAUACGGAGGAUUCAAGCGUUAUCCGGAUUUAUUGGGUUUAAAGGGUGCGUAGGCGGACUGUUAAGUCAGCGGUAAAAGCCCGGGGCUCAACCCCGGCGAGCCGUUGAAACUGGC
rnacentral:rRNA from 1 species